GCCACCCACAUAGAGAGGUAGAUGAUAUUUGCUGGCAAAAGACGGAAAGAUGCUUGCUUGACUCAAGAUGGAUUCCGGAUAUUGAUGAAAAAAUAAUAGAUAAUUGCGCGUCAGAGAGGAGUCGGAAAAUUACCUUUCACGACUACCCAAUAACCUGAGACUUCCACGUCUUGAUCCACAUCUCUCAGCCAGCCACUACAGCCAUCAUUAGCCUCGAUCCUCGCACUUCGAUUUAUCAUCCUGACUGGGGCGCAUCUAAUGAAAUUGCAUGUUAAUGUACCAGGGAUACAUGCAGCGAGGAUCAUCCAUUACUUUCUUGGGGGAAAAAAAUCGCACAGAAAUAAAAUAAUAAAUUACUAUCGUGAUCACAGUCAAGGAAAACUCUGCUGCGACGAGUAUGCAUGUGCUGUCUCAAAUUCAACCUGUGUGAAUACCAUAAUUUGUGAAGAUUUAUCAAUGAAAAACUUGAAACGCCUCUUAAAUUGUGUGACAUUCAAGCUGGCUAUAAGGGUAGAGUAUUAUUUUUUUCUUAUUAACAAUAGGUCUCCGUCCAAUAUGACAGAAUAUUACCUUUUGAAUACAGUUGGUUGACUCGUUAUCAUUAGUAAUAUCAUAAUUCCGUUCAAUAAUACAUUCGAUUAACGUCUUAGAAUAACUUACAAAGUUUUAAAGCCUCUUGUCUUGAACUCUCGCCAAAAGUUCAUGAAAACUAGUCGUAGGUACAUUUAACGUACAUUUCAGAUCCUCAGAAGCUAUUUUCCGUUGGCUUACCAUUGGAACUCCGGCGUGUAGAAUUAUUGGACAUGUGCUUUGUUCGUGUGCAUACUACUAUAUUGUAUAAUAUGGUUACUCGAGAACAUUUUUACUUGUAUUUGAAUGACCAAACGGUCCUUAUAAAUGUCUUUUUCCGAUUCCUAUAUCUGUAAUUCUCUUCAAACAGUUAGUUAUGCUUUUUUAUAAAUAUCAACUCAUCUCUUUUAUGUAAGUCACAACUGAUAUAGUAUUUUCUUUUAAUUUGUUUACAAUGUAGCGGAACUAGAAAUAAAAAUCUUAUAGAAGUAAAGUUUAGAGAAGAAUUCAAAUAGUAUUUCAUAAUAUGGUAUAAAGCUUGUCAGUCUUUCCGUAGACAAUUUUUCACUGUUUCAUCCAGUCUCAUCAUUCAUGUAUGCUGUUAGCAUUUCCAGAGCCAGUAAAAAGUUUAAAUCUUAAAACUGAAGGAGUUCUCCUAAGAAUUUUAUAACACUUCAAGUUACUGGUAUUGCGCUGCAUUUUAUAGUUUGAAAAUGUCCAAAGAAAUAUUGCGUUGAACCAGUGGCUGUUAGAUUGUACUCCUAAUGAAAGACUUCUAAAUUUAUAAAACAUGGUUUCCAUGCAUCUUUAAUACGAGAUUACGAACAAAAUAGAACUCUAUUUAUUUUAAAUUUUUAACUAUAAUUUAAGCAAAAAAUAUUAUUCGAUAAAUAACAUAAUAACACGCAACUGAUAUUGCUAUUAACAUUAUAAUAUAAUACAUUUCAUGAAUUUAAAAUGUAAUGUGUUUAUAAAAAAAUAUGUGAUAUAUAAUCCGUUAAAAUAAGAUCAUUCAAAUGGAAGGAUUGGAAUGGAAAUGUGGAUUGUCGUCGUCUUGAAAGCAGAUAUCAUUUUCGGAUGAUUUAUAUAUAAAUUAAAAC